AGUGAACGCUGGCGGUAGGCCUAACACAUGCAAGUCGAACGGCAGCACAGUAAGAGCUUGCUCUUACGGGUGGCGAGUGGCGGACGGGUGAGGAAUACAUCGGAAUCUACUUUUUCGUGGGGGAUAACGUAGGGAAACUUACGCUAAUACCGCAUACGACCUACGGGUGAAAGCAGGGGAUCUUCGGACCUUGCGCGAUUGAAUGAGCCGACGUCGGAUUAGCUAGUUGGCGGGGUAAAGGCCCACCAAGGCGACGAUCCGUAGCUGGUCUGAGAGGAUGAUCAGGCAAAACGGAAACUGGAAAAGGGUCAGACUCCUACGGGAGGCAGCAGUGGGGAAUAUUGGACAAUGGGCGCAAGCCUGAUCCAGCCAUACCGCGUGGGUGAAGAAGGCCUUCGGGUUGUAAAGCCCUUUUGUUGGGAAAGAAAAGCAGCAGGUUAAUACCCCGCUGUUCUGACGGUACCCAAAGAAUAAGCACCGGCUAACUUCGUG
rnacentral:rRNA from 1 species